rnacentral:rRNA from 1 species
AGUGAACGUUGGCGGCGUGGAUUAGGCAUGCAAGUCGAGCGAGAACCGUAGCAAUACGGGGACAGCGGCGAAAGGGACAGUAAUGUGUAGGUACCUACCCCGGGGUCUGGGAUAGCUGCGGGAAACUGCAGGUAAUACCGGAUAAUGUCUUCGGACCAAAGGUGUGAUUCCACCUUGGGAGGGGCCUGCAUCCUAUUAGCUUGUUGGCGGGGUAACGGCCCACCAAGGCCACGAUGGGUAGCGGGUGUGAGAGCACGACCCGCGUCAUUGGGGCUGAGAUACGGCCCAGACACCGACGGGUGGCUGCAGUCGAGGAUCCUCGGCAAUGGGCGAAAGCCUGACCGAGCGACGCCGCGUGCGGGAUGAAGGCCUUCGGGUUGUAAACCGCUGUCGUAGAGGAGGAAAUGCAGGGGGGUUCUCCCUUCUGUUUGACCUAUUCUAGGAGGAAGGACGGGCUAAGUUCGUGCCAGCAGCCGCCGUAA